rnacentral:rRNA from 1 species
GAGUUUGAUCGUGGCUCAGGAUGAACGCUAGCGGCGCGCCUAAUGCAUGCAAGUCGAGCGAUGAGGCACCUUUGGGUGUACAUCAGCGGCAGACGGGUGAGUAACACGUAGGUGACCUACCCCGAAGACGGGGAUAACAGGUGGAAACAUCUGCUAAUACCCGAUGGACUCUGAGCGGAAGCGAGGAGUAAAGGCUACGGUGGCUUCGGGAGGGGCCUGCGGCCUAUCAGCUAGUUGGUAGGGUAACGGCCUACCAAGGCGAAGACGGGUAGGGGUGUGAGAGCACGGCCCCCCACAAUGGGACUGAGACACGGCCCAUACUCCUACGGGA